UUACGGCCACAUCGGGUUGAAACACCGUACGAUCACCUAAUUUAAGCAACGGUGAGCCUGGUCAGUACUUCGAUGGGUGACAGUUUGGGAAUACCGGGUGCUGUAA